AAACUGAGGCUAAUCCCUGAUAGAUGAGGGACCCUGGAACGCUCCCUCAUCUAAAGGAUCCCAAGACCAUGCUCUUGGGAUCGCCUGAGGAUGGGGCCGUGGCCUAUCAGGUUGACGGUGAGGUAACGGCUCACCGUGCCUAUAACGGGUACGGGCCGUGAGAGCGGGAGCCCGGAGAUGGGCACUGAGACAAGGGCCCAGGCCCUACGGGGCGCAGCAGGCGCGAAACCUCCGCAAUGCGCUAACGCGCGACGGGGUCACCCCGAGUGCCAGCCGCUGAGGCUGGCUUUUCCCCAGUGUAAAAAGCUGGGGGAAUAAGCGGGGGGCAAGUUCUGGUGUCAGCCGCCGCGGUAAUACCAGCUCCGCGAGUGGUCGGGGCGUUUAUUGGGCCUAAAGCGUCCGUAGCCGGCCCAGUAAGUUCCUCCUUAAAUCCCAUGGCUCAACCAUGGGGCUGGGAGGAAUACUACUGGGCUANGGGGCGGGAGAGGCCGAGGGUAUUCCCGGGGUAGGGGCGAAAUCCUAUAAUCCCGGGAAGACCACCAAUGGCGGAGGCACUCGGCCAGAACGCGCCCGACGGUGAGGGACGAAAGCCAGGGGAGCAAAAGGGAUUAGAGACCCCUGUAGUCCUGGCUGUAAACGAUGCGGGCUAGGUGUUGGCUGAGCUUCGGGCUCAGCCAGUGCCGCAGGGAAGCCGUUAAGCCCGCCGCCUGGGGAGUACGGCCGCAAGUCUGAAACUUAAAGGAAUUGGCGGGGGAGCACCACAAGGGGUGAAGCCUGCGGUUCAAUUGGAGUCAACGCCGGGAACCUCACCAGGGGAGACAGCAGGAUGAAGGUCAAGCUAAAGACUUUACCCGACGAGCUGAGAGGAGGUGCAUGGCCGUCGCCAGCUCGUGCCGUGAGGUGUCCUGUUAAGCCAGGCAACGAGCGAGACCCUCGCCGCUAGUUGCUGUCCUCUCCCGCAAGGGAGAGGAAGGUAGUUAGCGGGACUGCCGCCGUUCAAGGCGGAGGAAGGAGAGGGCUACGGCAGGUCAGUAUGCCCCGAAACCCCUGGGCCACACGCGGGCUGCAAUGGUAGGGACAGAGGGUGUCCAACUCCGAAAGGAGGAGGUAAACCCUAAACCCUACCCCAGUUGUGAUUGAGGGUUG
rnacentral:rRNA from 1 species